rnacentral:rRNA from 1 species
CCUACGGGAGGCUGCAGUGAGGAAUAUUGGUCAAUGGGCGCAAGCCUGAACCAGCCAAGUCGCGUGAGGGAAGACGGCCCUAUGGGUUGUAAACCUCUUUUGUCAGGGAGCAAGGCCGGGUACGUGUAGGCGGACCGAGAGGACCCGAAGAAAAAGCAUCGGCUAACUCCGUGCCAGCAGCCGCGGUAAUACGGAGGAUGCGAGCGUUAGCCGGAUUUCUGGGGUUGAAAGGGUGCGUAGGCGGAAUGCCAAGUCAGCGGUAAAAUGGCGGGGCUCAACGCCGCCGCGCCGUUGAAACUGGCGUUCUUGUGUGGGCGAGACGUAUGCGGACUGCGUGUUGUAGCGGU